CCUACGGGCGGCAGCAGUGGGGAAUAUUGGGCAAUGGGCGCAAGCCUGACCCAGCAACGCCGCGUGAAGGAAGAAGGCUUUCGGGUUGUAAACUUCUUUUCUUAGGGACGAAGCAAGUGACGGUACCUGAGGAAUAAGCCACGGCUAACUACGUGCCAGCAGCCGCGGUAAUACGUAGGGGGCAAGCGUUAUCCGGAUUUGCUGGGUGUAAAGGGCGAGUAGGCGGGACUGCAAGUCAGAUGUGAAAACCACGGGCUCAACCUGUGGCCUGCAUUUGAAACUGUAGUUCUUGAGUACUGGAGAGGCAGGCGGAAUUCCUGGUGUAGCGGUGAAAUGCGUAGAUAUUAGGAGGAACACCAGUGGCGAAGGCGGUCUGCUGGACAGCAACUGACGCUGAGGCGCGAAAGCGUGGGGAGCAAACAGGAUUAGAUACCCGAGUAGUC
rnacentral:rRNA from 1 species